UCCGAGCUUUCUGGAGUUCUCUGAGUGGGUCCGCAAGCUCAUUCCAAUCUGCGUCUAUAUCAAAAUGACUGGGCCAAGCACGAUAGCAAGUCCAUGGCUCUCGGAGGGAGAUUCCAGAGGGGUUUGUCCAGCUGUGCACAUGGGUGGUGGAGUCUCUGCACAGUCCCAGAACUGCCCUGUGACCUGCUAACACCUGAACCUGCUCACACUUCUGCCCAGCAGCUGAUCUAGAAACAGGA
rnacentral:lncRNA from 1 species